GACACUGAACCGCUGAAGAAAAUGUUUCACAUGCUUGUUUUGUUCUGUUUGUGCCGCUGGAGUUUGACUGGUGUGUUUGGUGAUUCAGUGUCAGUGAUGGAGGGAGAUUCUGUCACUUUAUACACUGAUCGUACUGAAAUACAUGAAGAUGAAGAUUUACUGUGGACAUUUGGAGCUGAAAACUCUCUCAUAGCUAAAAUUUAAAAAAAGAAGCAAACAUUCAACACAUCUAAUAAUACUGAUGAGAGAUUCAGAAACAGACUGAAGCUGGACGAUCAAACUGGAUCUCUGACCAUCACAAACAUCACAACUGAACAUGCUGGAGAUUACAAAGUACAGAUAAUAUUUGGUGAACUGCAACAGAUAAAGGGAGCAAAUUCAUCAUCAAAAUCAUCAUCAAAAUCAUUUAGUGUUUCUGUUCAUGCUCGUCUGCCUGUUCCUGUCAUCAGCAGUAACUCUUCACAAUGUUCUUCAUCAUCAU